CGCUGGCGGCAGGGAUCAUACAUGCAAGUAGGACGCGAAAGUCUUCGGAUGAGUAGAGCGGCGGACGGGUGUAGUUAUCCGUGGGAAUCUGCAUAGUAGUGGGGGACAACGUUCCGAAAGGAACGCUAAUACCGCAUACGCCCUACGGGGGAAAGGGGGGGAUCCUCGGACCUUUCGCUAUUAGAUGAGCCCGCGUCGGAUUAGCUAGUUGGUAGGGUAAAGGCCUACCAAGGCGACGAUCCGUAACUGGUCUGAGAGGAUGAUCAGUCACACUGGAACUGAGACACGGUCCAUACUCCUACGGGAGGCAGCAGUGGG
rnacentral:rRNA from 1 species